rnacentral:rRNA from 1 species
UACGUAGGGAGCAAGCGUUGUUCGGAUUUACUGGGCGUAAAGGGCGCGUAGGCGGCGCGGUAAGUCACUUGUGAAAUCUCUGAGCUUAACCCAGAAAUUGCCAUUGAUACUGUAGGGCUUGAGUAUAGAUGCCGUUGGCGGAAUAUGACAUGUAGUGGUGAAAUACAUAGAGAUGUCAUAGAACACCGAUUGCGAAGGCAGCUAACGAAACUAUAACUGACACUGAGGCUCGAAAGUGUGGGGAUCAAACAGG